GCGACCCCAGGUCAGGCGGGACUACCCGCUGAGUUUAAGCAUAUAAAUAAGCGGAGGAGAAGAAACUUACAAG
rnacentral:rRNA from 1 species